rnacentral:tRNA from 1 species
GGGUCCAUAGCUCAGUGAUAGAGCAUUUGACUGCAGAUCAAGAGGUCACCGGUUUGAUCUUGGUUGGGCCCU